rnacentral:rRNA from 1 species
UACGUAGGGGGCUAGCGUUGUCCGGAAUCAUUGGGCGUAAAGAGCGUGUAGGCGGCUCGGUAAGUCCGCUGUGAAAGUCCAGGGCUCAACCCUGGAAUGCCAGUGGAAACUGUCGAGCUAGAGUCCGGAAGAGGCGAGUGGAAUUCCUGGUGUAGCGGUGAAAUGCGCAGAUAUCAGGAGGAACACCAAUGGCGAAGGCAGCUCGCUGGGACGGUACUGACGCUGAGACGCGAAAGCGUGGGAGCAACAGG